CACCUCCAUUUUUAUAUUUUUAUAUCCUUUUGAUAUUUUGAUAUAUGACAAUGUUUUGGCAUUCAAACUCUUACAUAUCUAAUCUAAUUAAAAUGCUAUUAAUGAUGAUUUGAAAUUUGAAUGAGAUUCUUCGGUUUAAAUCGAAAAAUUAAACCAAAUUGAUUUUAUUCUGAUAUUGGCUCUUUUGCCCCUAUCACCACCAGCAAGCUGCGUCGACGUCUUCCAAAUCUGGGCAUCAACUAUCUGAUCUGUCGAGUCUCAUUUGUUUUGGGCAUCAACUUUCUGAUCUGGCGAGUCUCACGAGCCCAUCUCUCGCGACUUUAGCGGCGUCUUCCAGACUCACUCUACGCCAACCUCGGCCUUCUCCAUCUUGCCAAAGCUCUAUGGUUUUUGUAGCCUCCAAUUUCUCCCUCUCUAGCACAAACUUAAUUAGCGACUAUAAGUCUUCCAUUUCAGAAGAAGAAUUGUACUGCUGAUUCUUUAGCACAUUGAAACUUGUGGCAUUGAAAUUAAGGCUCUUAUGUGAAAUUGCAUUCUGCAGCUCAUUGUGUUCAAUUCUGGCCUGAUCCUCCAAAUGAGAUAUUGAGUUUCCUCACAGCAGAUGCAGUGGUAGUGACUCUGUGUUAACUCAGAUUUCGAGCCUAUUCGUGUGACUAUAAUUGAGUUUCCUCACAGAAGAUGCACUCUAAUUUGGUCUCUUUGGAAAAACAGGAACGAAGCGCUUUGGAAUUCUAAUCAGAUUACAAGCUCUGCUUCCUCCUUCCUGAAUCAGUGAUUAGCUGCCCAAGUUAGUGACCAUCCAUCCCAUUCUGACUACUCUUCGACAGUUUCUGUGGCUGAUUUGUUGAAAUGGCACAAGCCUGCUUCGGGAUUCUUGAAAUGCAAUACAGAUGCUUCCUCCCGUCCGCAUCAUAACAAAAUUGAGCAGGUUGGGUUCUUUGUGAUUGGUGAGGACAGCUGAUUAAGGCUUGCUAAUUGAGCUUCUUGGUCCACCUGAUCCGAAAAUCACUGAAGCUCUCUCUCUCCAAGAAGCUCUUAGCUU